CGGCCCCAGCACCCCUGCGGGAAAACAGAAAGCAGCGGCGUGUGCGCCCUGCAGACCCUUGCUAAAGCGUUGCCGCGUGUCUGGGAGCGCGGCCGCUGGCCGGGAGCCGACCGCUCCGAGCCCACGAGCCCCGAGGUCGGGCGCGCAGCCCCGGGUGGAGGCCGCCGCGCCGGCCCGCGCAGCCCCCCUUCCCCGCCGCUCCGGGCCGGCGGCGCGAUCCCGGGCGCUGAGCGCUCCUCUCGCGGGUCCAGGAUUUCGCCGACGCCCCCGCACCCUGCAGGGACCCUCGGACCGAGAAAGUUAGAGGCCCGACGUGCGCGUUUUUGCGGAACCUCCCCGGAGCGAGGGCCACAUUUAAUCCCUCGCCCCUGCCCUACAGGCUCUCAAAGACGAGGGAGGCAGCAUAAAAGAAAUCCUGCCCGAGUCCUAAUUAUUGGAACACUUCCUAACACGCCGUCUGUCCCAGGAACUGGAAACAUAUUGCAGGAAGGCAAUGUUUGGGUAAUUAAUAAAGAGCAAAUAACGGGGCUUCCGAAACGCUCGCCGCCCUGGCCCCGGCGGGCGGCCCUGCGAGGUGCUGGGCGCCGCUCGGCCGCCCUCAGGACGCACGGACAGAGAGGUUCCCGCAGGACGCGGCCGCAUCCCCGCCAGACUUUUCCCCGCUCACGUUAUUAGCAGAAACGCAGAAGGCGAGCGACUCCCAUUUUUACCCACCAAACUUUCUUCUCCCGGGUCGCCGGUGAAGCUUCAGGCCCAGAGACACCGGGCUCCGCUCCUCCCGGGCCUGAAAAGUCCGCCUCGAGGGAGCGGAGUCCUGUCGCUCCCAGCGAUACCUAUGAACAAGCUGAGAGGCUCGGCGUAAUGAUCUCGUUUUAAUUGCGACUCAACCAAACGUCCAGCCCGCUGCCACUCAGGCCCCCUAGAUCGGGAUGGCUGGGCCUGCGAUGUCAGGAGAUUCCCUUGGCUCCCAGUGGUUCUUUGUAUCCGCCGCCCAACAUGGAAACCGUAUGCUGAGCCUCUCUGCGAGUUAAAAUCGCCCUCUUGAGAGAUUCGAGCUGACGCCCUUUGGCUUUUUCACCGGUCGCCUGCAUCCCGGGCCGCCUCGGGGCUCCUGCGUCUCUCCUUGCCACGAGGGGACCCCGCCUCUCUUCCUUCCAGACCUCCUGUUACUAAAGCAAUCGCCUGAGGAGCUCGGCACAAAGGAGUGGCCCCUGCAAGGGGUGGGAUUCGCCCUGACUUUGACCCGAAGGCACCUGUGGCGGCUCGGGGAAGUGGAUGCAACGUGUCUCUCCUCGGCAGAGAGGCCAGUGGGGGCCUGACGAGAAGUUGGGUGCAGUUCGGACAACAGAGCCAAAGACACAGGUGGGAACCAGGCCCUUCCGCAGGACAAAGCCUUCCCGCUGGGGAUGUUACGCAAGCGAGGAAACAGACAGAGAGAGGGGCUCCGUAACAGUGCUGGUGAGGAGCGGAGUCAGGAUUUCACUAACUUUUGUUCACCUGUGAAUGAGCACAAGCCGUCAAUCCAACAGGUGAGGCUGGUUUCAUCAAAGUGGCGGUCACUCAUGUCAAGCGGCUUCUUCUGGAACGUAAGCCUUCGCUGUCUUAGCGAGAACGCAUUUCCAAUUUUUUUUUUCUCCCCUCCGCUUUCCGUCUCUGUCCAGCGCCCCCCACCCCCACCCCUGAGCUGAGAUUCCGGUGGUUGAGCCUAGAGGCAGGUGGCACUGUGGUUAAAAAUGGAAAGAUCUGUUGCCGUAAGUUCUCCUUGUAACGUAUGUCGCACACAGCUCCGAAUCCAGCUAGGCUGAAGCGUGCAAAGACAAUACCUGGAAUUAGCACUGGACAUUUGAGGUGUCUUCGGUCAAUGACAGUGGUGCUUUUUACAUGGGUUGCAUUUAUUUACAGUCUACGAAGCAUAUUCACUCAUGGCCUCUCAUUUUCGACAUUUCCUCCUGGUACUUGGGGCCCGAUCUCUGAUUGUGGAAUGAAAGGCUGUGUUCCUGGUUAAAAAAGAUUCCAGGCUAGGCCAGCCUGCCGCGCUUAGUAGAACCGAGCGACUCAAUGUGCCCUCUGAAGGAGCAAAGUGUAAACGCUCCGCCCUUAGGAUCAAAAGGAGGCCGUUUGACCCAGACAUUGUGCUACAAGGUUUCCCUUCAUUUCAGCCUGUGCUGUUUGCUCAGAUUCCGUCUUGUUCUGCCUGCCUUGUCUCCAGCCUGUCCCCCAAAUCAGAGUUGGGGGACAAAUCUCUGCGGCCGAUCUACACCAUGCAGCCCAGCGGUUUUCUGCCUCUUCUGCCCCGAACCAUUCGUUUUGCUCUUGGGUGACACUCCGACCUGAGACCAAAUCCAGGAUGUCCGAGGAAUUUCUCCAGAAAGGCAUGCGCAAAGGACGUGGAAAGGAAUUUCGCCCAUCUUUGUCUCUCUUUCCUCCUUUUUUUCCUCUUUGGCAAGCUACAAAGGGGGACUGUCACACACAGGCUUCCUCAUGUAAGGGGAAGAAUCACAUCAGGUUCACGUGUGCGUCACACCCUUUGGGAAUGCUUCCUCAUCACCUCUGUUACGAAUUCUUCUAGCUUUCUGAGCUUUUUUUUACAGGGCUGGGACUAGGGUGAGGUCAGUGAGGCGUCUGCCUCGUGCAUAAAAUUUCGGGGGCAGGUGCCAAAAAUCUCAGUCAGCAAGGGACGCAUUUUGAUGUCAUAUUUUUUUUUUAAUUUUUUUUUCAACGUUUUUUAUUUUUAUUUUUGGGACAGAGAGAGACAGAGCAUGA